UUAGUGGCACCUAAACGGUUACAUCUACUGAGCAGAAAUAAGGAUUUGUUUCUUUAGUUUAUAAUAAUGUGUCGUGUUUGAAUAUGGAAAAUGCAAGUUUCUGAGGUGGAAGGACUGCGUAUAACACGCAUCCAUAACACAUCCAUGGGGCUAUUUCAUCCCACCCCUACAGCUGACUAAUCCAUGUUAGUAAAUCACGGAGAUGAUUAAUACACCCACCAUAUACCUGAGCGCGUUAGGCUCUUUAUCACCUACAGAGAGUGCCUACCAGUCAUGCUUUGAAUGAACAGGCACAAAGGCGCUUUCUUAAAAAUGAUAUUACCAGACCAUUAUCUUCCCAGUUAGAAUCCUGCUUUAUUCAGGGGGAGCUCAGAACUCUCGCCGUGCUGAUGUGAUUCUCCGUUAGAGAGGAAACUCUAUCAUUUUUCUACAAGUAUCGUGGGAAAUCACUAGCAUCAGAUGUUGUAAUCUCCCACUUGAACUCCUUCCAUGAUGUAUCUAUCUGCAAUUACCUCUGCCAGAACCGCUGCGGCCCUAUCCCUCAUUAAAAAAGUAAAUAUAAGGCUUUUAUGGAAUGGGGAAAAAUUCUCCUUCGCACUAGAACCGUACAAUUUCCUGCAGAAUUGUGCUUAGUAGGGCCAAAUAACUAUUGUUGCUAUAGUCUUACGUUUUCUUUCUGUUCAGGCUGGAAAGAAACUAUUGCUCUAACAGAUGUGAGAAUUUACUGAAAUAAACAGAAGUGGCAAUACCUUUUUUCAGAGGCAUUUUUAGCUGAAAUAAUUCCUGAACUUUUGAAAACCCAAACUCUGGCUGUGUCUGGGACACAAAGAUGGAUAUUUUAGCAAAACCUUAAACUGAAAAAGGAAUAUAGAUUGUACCAUCCCCAGUACCCGAUGUUCUAGAGAUGGCAGUUUGUCAAAUGACUGUAUUAUUGGAGCUACGGCUGCCUGAAGAUAAAGAAGCUGAUGUCUAAAAAAAUGAACCCUAUAACGGUGAAGGAGCUUUGAAGGUGGGAAAAGGACCUAAGGGAGCACCUUUAGGAUGCUUGGACAGUAUUAAUAUUGAGUGGCCAUUAGUGACUUGUUCUUGGGUGCCCUGCCACACUCUUCCAUUACGGACUUGAUGAUUGGUACCUUGGGGGGAUCAGCUGGUAUUAUUGUUUAAUAUGUAUUUAUUGCUUGAUCUCCUCUAACUUUACUUUGGUUACAUUUUAUUCUUCCAUUAUUAUUUUUUGAAUGUCUGAAUGUGCUAUUUUGCUCUUUGAUUGUGAAUUAUGUGUACUCAGAUACAGUGUGGCUUUUAUAUGCCACGGCCAACUGAACUGCUCCUUUUGAAAAUUUGAUUUUAUAUUUUUAAAGGUAAUGAAAUAAAGGUGCAAAUUUA